rnacentral:tRNA from 1 species
GCGAGGGUAGCCAAGUGGUCAAAGGCGCAGCGUUGAGGGCGCUGUCCUGUAGAGGUUCCGGGGUUCGAAUCCUCGCUCUCGCA